UGGAGCUGUUCACUCCAUCUCCCUGGACAAAGCCAAGGAGAUGUACAUGCAUGGCACAGAGUUUGACUCAAGCGAGAUAACCCAGCUUGGGGAACAGCUUCAGAGCCACAUUUCCUCAAAAGCGAGGCUUCCUGAGCAAUUACAAGAAAGCCUUGGAGCGUGAGGAAUUCCUCAGGCGCCUGUAAUCCCUGGGUAGUGAAUGUGUCUGCUGGAUAGUCUGUUGUGUAUAAAAUAAAGAAAAUAUAUCAUU